AAAAGCUGAGCACCAGACUCUGGACUUGGCGAUCAGCGUUGAGACGCUCCAACGAAGGUUAAGCUCCCAGCAAAAGGUCUGCCGUACCAAGAGGCUGAAUAAGCUGAUAUUAUAUGCUGUGGCGAUGGAGAGAAUGCACCGGUAUCCGGCUACUGGUACACUAAACUGGGGUUACUGAGGCAUAUCCACUUACUGGUGCAGCCCUGGCCUCUGGACCAUGAGAACCGCAGGCAGCUUUCUCUAGUGAUAAAGGGACCUCUCCUCCAAGUGCCCCUCCCUGCGGAUAAUCAGAAGUAUCUCCAGACUCUUCAAAGCAGAACAUGAGAAUAGGACCCCUUCAACUGCAAUGGCUUACAAGAAACUAUUGAUGCACUUUUCUAAUACUUACUAUAGAGAUGAAUUUUUCCUUCAUCUACUUUACUACUUUGUCCCUCUCAGUUUGCUCAUUUAUAAAAUGAUUAUGAAGGAUACUAAUAGCACCCACCACCUACGCUUGUUUUCAGAAACAGUUUGCACCUGAUAAAAGGAAACUCAGUCUAUACAUGCUUAUUAUUGUACUAACUGGUCACUGUCCUGCACCUUUAGGACUAUUCCUAUGUCAGAGUAACUUCAACUCAUUUUUAAGGGAGUCCAUAUCCAGAAGUCAUAGCUAAUAGUAAACAACAUACCACACUAGCUCCAGUGCUAGUCUGUCCACUGCCCAGCCAUGGCAGAGAGGAAGGUGGGUGCACCUGACUCGUCGAAUAGGAUGUUGCACCGGGUUGAUAAAGAGUUGUAGUAGAACCACGAUAAUCUAUAUCAUCUGAACUGUAAAAGACGGUUUGUGUGUGUUAAGAGCAAAUGGAACUUUCCCAGUAACACAUUCCAAUUACAGAGCUUCUUAGGUAUCCACAAAGCAGUACUUUUAAAAUGAACAAAUAGCCGUGAGAAGUCAAUAGAUUACUACUGGUUAGAGUUUUCCCUCAACACUUAUACAGUUAAGUGUUGUUCGGGGAUAACUUUACUGCUGCACAAAUUAGAAUGCUUGUUCUUUUUAUGAUGGACUAUAUCAUAUUACAUUGUUAUAGCUACUCUAAAGUGUGAUAUUGAAACGUAGCUAUAUAGCAGCAAAACAGAACAUUUAACAGAAUAAGGAGAGAGGCUACCAUGACAUCAUCUCCAAGUACAUAAAAUUUCCUUAUCUGGAAAAAAGAAGGGAUUAUAUGGAGAAGCCCCCAAACAAGACAGUAUUGCAAAACUCUUAUUGCAGUAUCCAAGCUUUACUAUAAAGUUGUCUACAUUUUUAUCUGUAAAAAGGGUAUGUUUAUAA